UACGUAGGGGGCAAGCGUUGUCCGGAAUCAUUGGGCGUAAAGCGCGUGUAGGCGGUUCGGUAAGUCUGCUGUGAAAGUCCAGGGCUCAACCCUGGGAUGCCGGUGGAUACUGUCGGACUAGAGUACGGAAGAGGCGAGUGGAAUUCCUGGUGUAGCGGUGAAAUGCGUAGAUAUCAAGAGGAACACCUGAGGUGAAGACGGGUUGCUAGGCUGACACUGACGCUGAGGCGCGAAAGCCAGGGGAGCAAACGGG
rnacentral:rRNA from 1 species